GACGAACGCUGGCGGCGUGCCUAAUACAUGCAAGUCGAGCGAAGUUUUUCUGGUGCUUGCACUAGAAAAACUUAGCGGCGAACGGGUGAGUAACACGUAAAGAACCUGCCUCAUAGACUGGGACAACUAUUGGAAACGAUAGCUAAUACCGGAUAACAGUAUUUCUCGCAUGAGAGAUAUUUAAAAGUUGGUUAUGCUAACACUAUGAGAUGGCUUUGCGGUGCAUUAGCUAGUUGGUGGGGUAGAGGCCCACCAAGGCGACGAUGCAUAGCCGACCUGAGAGGGUGAUCGGCCACACUGGGACUGAGACACGGCCCAGACUCCUACGGGAGGCAGCAGUAGGGAAUCUUCCGCAAUGGGCGAAAGCCUGACGGAGCAACGCCGCGUGAGUGAAGAAGGAUUUCGGUUCGUAAAGCUCUGUUGUUAGGGAAGAAUGGAUAUGUAGUAACUAUACAUGUAAGAGACGGUACCUAACCAGACAGCCACGGCUAACUACGUG
rnacentral:rRNA from 1 species